UUUUUUUUUUUUUUUUUUCAACUGGGGGCUCAGUUCCAUCUCUAAUGAAAAUAAAAAAGCUAUCUUGGAGCUAUCUUGGCUGAGGUCAAAAAGCCCACAAGGUCACGUUUGCUUAAAGGUCUAGAUGACAUUGACGUUCUGGUCUCCUCGAGGUGAAGGUCUUUCCUUCAAGAACCAAGAGAAACAGAAUCCAGACAGACAUUCCUGACACACUUUGGAGAAUAAUUUUAGCUUUGUACAUAAAUGUAAGUGUCUCGUCCCGGAACAUACAUUUUCCUCUCAAUUUGUUCAGGUUACAGCUAAGACCAAAACAGGAGGCCCAGGACAGUCAGACGUGCGGAAGGCACAAAGGCAUCUGUUUCUCAGUGACAAAUCCAACAGACAUCCCGGUCACACCUCAGAUCUUCUUCGGGGAGUACAAAACCAGGACACUGUCCGUUGGCAUCUGCGUCCUCCGGGCGGAGCACCCAGGGGCCACGGGGCUUGGUGCCCCCAGUGAAAUGCAUGUGGGAGACGCGUCCUCCGCUGCCAGGAGUCUCCUUUCUUUCUCCCAAGUUCCUCUCGCACGGAGCUGAGGGGAGGCUCAGAGCGGGGCCGUGUGGGACGGAGAAAGGAAAAAACCCUUUCUUCACACUCGUGCUGCUCUGAAUGUGGACCAUCUGUGCCCCCAGCUGGAGCGCCGGCAAUGGUCUGGCACUUGAACCACACCAUAUUUACAGAUCUAAACACAAACGGCUACUGCCUGAUUGUUUCAUGAUUCAUUAGUCAGACAAGCUCUCCUCUCCCGCCAGCACAGCUGUUACAGAGUAAACCUUUGUCACUUAAUAGGCCUGAUUAUUACUUUCCAUCAAAGGUAUUGAUCUGUGUCACCUCUACUUAAGGGGAUGGGGGAGAAGAACAUGGGGAUGAAAGGUCCCAGGAAAACGGGGGCACAAAGGGGGGGGGGCAAAAGAGGGGCGUGAGGCGGGAUCAGCGACCCUGGCCUCCUCCCUUGCUCUCCCCUGCGUGACCUGAAUAUCUGGAGUCGUGUCCUUGGCCGCAGCGACGGACUUUCUCGGAAAGGGGAGCCACUCCUCGCGCGGUGUGCCACCCCGAGCCCCCGGCCCACUGCUGCCACAGCCCCUGACCGCACAGAUCCCUGUUCAACCACGGGCCGGGGUGCACUGAACCAGAAAGCUGCAUCAAUUAGCACGCCAAGCCAACGUGCAGAUCAAGCUGGGGCUCUGGAGGGAGUUUUUAUGGCUCCUUUAAUUAUCUCCUUUUGUUUAACAAAUAAAGUGCGGCUAUAACCCUGGGCCGUUCCCUGACUGCGACACACAACGUUCACCCAGGUGGAGAGCGGCUUCUGUCCGGCUGCCGGCAGGCACCAUGGGGCAGAGUGCAGGCCCAGCCCCCUGGCCAGCGCUCUGCGUCUCUCUCGCCUCCGCUCACCGCCUUCCCCACUUGUUCCUUUCCUCCAAAAACUCAAAGGGACAAAACGAGGGAGGAUUUCCCGGUGGGGGCGACAAAGAAAGGGUAUCAGAAAUACACCAACUCAGUAAACACCGCCCUAAACAUUCCCACCAACACUCCCACCCAAACAAUCUCCUGGGGAGUCAGAGUUUAGGAAGGGAGACCAGAGAUCCUCUCUCUCAUCUUCGGGCCCAGAGAGCUUUAGAGGCGUCCUCCCACGACACAGUUUUUGGGGUGGGCCCGCUGAGUCGAAAAGUCCUCUACGGACCAGUUCAGAGCUCUUUCCAACCCAGCAACCAGCCCUCCUAAUGCCAAAAUCUCACCUCAGACAGGGAUGGUUUUAACGAAUGUAAUGUCUUCCACAGCCUCAGGGAAGGUCGUAAGGGGAGGAACCCUGAUCAGAGCUCACGGAGUCAACCUCUUCUGCAACUACUUCCACAUCACGGAAGAAGAGGUAUUUGACUUUACAUAAUACACACAUGUGUACGCACAGACACACACACAGGUAGCCCAGUGCAUGCACACAUGCGUGCAAAAUGGGCCUUGCUCUCACCAUCAGUAACAGCUCCUCCCCUCUGAGAUUCCAGCAUAGGCUAGUUGCGUCCCUCUGUCUCCAUACCACUCACUGCAGCUGUUGCCCAAAUCUAGCCUCCGACCGAGACCUUUCUGGCUCCCUUUCUCCAGACCUCACCCUCCAAUGGCAAGCACGGGUUACAAAAGGUCAAGAGCCUCGCCAAGCACACACUGUUUGUUUUAUGGUGCUCACCACAGGCAAUGGAUUGACGCGCCCAGACGCUGCGACCCUCCAUUGAUGGGACGGUCAAUGGAAGCAAGAGACAAGGCUCACCCCCAACUCAGUCCAUUCGGAAUUGACGGGGAUGGUCAGAACGUGGUUUGCCUAAGUUCCUAUCUGCAAAGGUGCUGCUGACAAGUACAGCUCUGAGAGAUAUCUGAAUGGGCUGUGGCCCGGGGCAGCUGAACAAGUCCGUUUCGUACUUACUUGAUUCUCCGUAGGCCCUUGGCCAAGGGUAGGACGCUAAUGGCUGGAGAGCACUUCUGACUCAGCCCAGAUUUUAAGCAGCGAGCUGGCAAUGGAACACCCCUCACCCCAUUUCCACGUCUAUAGUUCUCCAGGUGGCGUAGUUGUCCCACUUGAUACCCAUGUCUGGGGCCACCUAGUCUCUCCCCUUCCCCAUCCCAGUUCCCAGACAGUGUUGGGAAUUUGACUCUUUGGAGUAGCACGUUAAUGAAGCAUGCAGGGUAUGUUUUGGUACCUUAAAAAAAAUGUAACAGAAGUCAUAGCUUUAAUGCUUCUAUAUAAGCCAGAAUUCAGUUUUAGAAGCAAAUGAAAUCUUACUGAUAGCCAGCUUUCAGCUCUCGAGCUUUCCAAACUGGAGUUUCUUCUUGUAAGUUAUGUCUAUCAGUUGACAGGACCAGUAUGAUUUUACGUGGGCACAGUUUGGCAACCAGGAGCUCCACAUAAUACAGUGCACUUGAAAUUCACAUAAAAAGAAAGCUGUCAGCAAGUAGAAACUGAUUAAAAUAAAGGGCAUUUGUUCUUAACGGGGGAAGAAAAUCAGCUUAUAGCCAUAAAAAGGAAACUGAUUGGCAAGAACUCAUGUGAAAAUGCCAAAGUAUUAAAAAUACACUUCGAUGUUUUCUGUUUAUAUUCCACUUGAUAAUUGGAUUUUGACUAAAUAUGCAUUUCGCCCACCAUAUCAACAAAAACGGACCUUACCUAGAAAUCUACGUAUGAUGACACAUAGCAUUUGAAAGUAUCU
rnacentral:lncRNA from 1 species